UGCGGUAAAGGUCGGGUGAGC
rnacentral:miRNA from 1 species